rnacentral:misc_RNA from 1 species
UCUAGAUGCAAAUGCUUGGGGUAAUUGAAAUUUCAAUGCAAAAACAUUUCUUCAUCGUUGAGACUAUAAUAUCUCCUUAAUUUUGGCUUUUAAGAAAUUAAAGAUUAGAAGCAAUAAAACUUAACUUUUCCAUGAGAAAAUAGAUAUCUUACCACAAAAGCAGUCAUGUAGGUACAAGCAAAUAUUAGCCUACUGAUAAAGCAAUCAUUUAGUCCGGCAUCCUAUUACUUUUCAGAAGUAUCCAUCACACAUGCUGGUUUGUUGAUGAAAUUUAAAUCAUGAUACAACCCAUAAAUAAAUUACCAAGAAAGCAAUUAUUUGUCCCAGCAUACUAUUACUUCCAAAUUUUUCAUUGAGCAAUUGGUUCAAGUUGAAUUUAGCAACAUAAGAAUUACAAUUUUACAACAGUAUUAAAAAAAAAAAAUCUAUCAACCUAUUACUCAUUUUUUAAGGGGUAGUGAAGAGUGACCUAGUCCUAGUUACCCACUAUCUUAAUUCUUAGGUGCCUCCUCCUCCUUGUUCUCAUUACCAUCCAUUAACACACAGAUCAUUAAAACCACUUCCACCACCACCUUUGACCCUAACAAGACAUCAAAAUUCACCAACCUCUUUCAUAAGGACUUCUACCCAUUAACCACCACUACAUACUGAUGAAACUGAUUAGGCAAUCCAUGGCCACUGCCUCUUAACAGUCCAUAAAAGCAAACACAAACCAUCAGUGAGUCAUAAUCCCACCAUCUUAAGCUGUAUAUCAUACCUACUUACCUAGCAAGUCACAAACACCAUCAGUACGUAAGCACAUUUACAACUGCCCUGGGACCAUGUUUAGUUCUCAUACACAAACUCUGCCAACUCACCACCCUAGCUGAUGCGUCCCACAUCGAUUCUGCAGGGAGGUCUUGGGUGCUUUUUAUAUAUAUGGGUUUUGCAUCCUCCCCUUAUGAACUAGCUUUUGAGGUAGAGUUAG